UAAAACGUAGGAGGCGAGCGUUAUCCGGAUUUACUGGGUGUAAAGCGCGUGCAGGCGGUUCGGUAAGUUGGGUGUGAAAGCUCCUGGCUCAACUGGGAGAGGUCGCUCAAAACUGGCGAACUGGAGAGUGGUAGGGGAAGGUGGAAUUCCGGGUGUAGUGGUGAAAUGCGUAGAUAUCCGGAGGAACACCAGUGGCGAAAGCGGCCUUCUGGACCAUUUCUGACGCUCAGACGCGAAAGCUAGGGUAGCAAACGGGAUUAGAGACCCCGGUAGUCCUAGCCGUAAACGAUGUGAACUUGGCGCUGGAUGGGUAAAACCGAUCAGUGCCGCAGCAAACGCGAUAAGUUCACCACCUGGGGACUACGGCCGCAAGGUUA
rnacentral:rRNA from 1 species